rnacentral:rRNA from 1 species
GAGGAAUAUUGGUCAAUGGGCGCAAGCCUGAACCAGCCACGUCGCGUGAAGGAAGACGGCCCUACGGGUUGUAACCUUCUUUUGUAAGGGAAUAAAGUGUAGUACGUGUACUAUUUUGCAUGUACCUUACGAAUAAGGAUCGGCUAACUCCGUGCCAGCAGCCGCGGUAAUACGGAGGAUCCGAGCGUUAUCCGGAUUUAUUGGGUUUAAAGGGUGCGCAGGCGGGAGAUUAAGUCGGCGGUGAAAUUUUGCAGCUCAACUGUAAAAGUGCCUUCGAAACUGGUUUCCUUGAGUGUAGAUGAAGUAGGCGGAAUUUGUGGUGUAGCGGUGAAAUGCAUAGAUAUCACGAGGAACUCCGAUUGCGCAGGCAGCUUACUAAACUACUACUGACGCUCAGGCACGAAGGCGUGGGGAUCAAAC